rnacentral:piRNA from 1 species
UGCCAGUGACACAAUUCUGGACCAAGUGU